AGCGAACGCUGGCGGCAGGCCUAACACAUGCAAGUCGAACGAUCCUUCGGGAUAGUGGCGGACGGGUGAGUAACACGUGGGAACGUACCUUUAGGUUCGGGAUAACUCAGGGAAACUUGAGCUAAUACCGGAUAAGCCCUUUUGGGGAAAGAUUUAUCGCCUUUAGAGCGGCCCGCGUUAGAUUAGCUAGUUGGUGGGGUAAAGGCCCACCAAGGCUCCGAUCUAUAGCUGGUCUGAGAGGAUGAUCAGCCACACUGGGACUGAUACACGGCCCAGACUCCUACGGGAGGCAGCAGUGGGGAAUCUUGCGCAAUGGGCGAAAGCCUGACGCAGCCAUGCCGCGUGAAUGAUGAAGGUCUUAGGAUUGUAAAAUUCUUUUAGCAGGGACGAUAAUGACGGUACCUGCAGAAAAAGCCCCGGCUAACUUCGUGCCAGCAGCCGCCGUAACAC
rnacentral:rRNA from 1 species